rnacentral:lncRNA from 10 species
UAAAAUAAUGAUGUAAGAAAGAUUUACUGAAAAACAUUAUUAAAAUAACCAGACAAAAAUCAUAUGAUGUGGUCACUUCGGAAGCACAUAUAUUAAAAUCGUAAUGAUACAGAGAAGAUUAGCAUGGCCUCUGCACAAGGAUGACACGCACGUUUGUGAAGUUUUCCUAUUUUUCAAUAUCGCGAAAAUGACCAUAGUGCCCAAAGUAAUUUAUGGAUGUAAUGUUAUUCCUAUUAAACUACCAUUUACAUUCUUCACAAAAGUAGAAAAAAAACUAUUUUAAAAUUCAUAUGGAACCAAUAAGAGUCCAUAUAGCCAAGACAAUCCUAAGCAAAAAGAACAAAGUUGGAGGCAUCACCCUACCAUACUUCAAACUAUAUUAUAAGGCUACAGUAACAAAAACAGCGUGAUACUGGUACAAAAACAGACACAAAGACAAACAGAACAGAAUACAGAACUCAGAAAUAAGAUUGCACAUCCACAAUCAUCUCAUCUUCAACAAGCCUGACAAAAACAAGCAAUGGGGAAAUGAUUCCCUAUUCAACAAAUGGUGCUGGGAUAACUGCCUAUCUAUUUGCAGAAUAUUGAAACUGGACCCCUUCCUCACAACUUAUACAAAAAUUAACUCAAGGUGGAUUAAAUACUUAAAUGUAAAACCCCAAACUAUAAAAAUCCUAGAAUAAAAUAUAGGCAAUACCAUUCAGGACACAGGCAUGGGCAAAGAUUUCAUGAUGAAAUCGUCAAUAGCAAUUGCAAAAAAAAGCAAAAAUUGACAAAUGGGAUCUAGUUAAACUAAAGAGCUUCUGCACAGCAAAAUAAACUAUCAUCAGAGUGAGCAGGCAACCUACAGAGUGGGAGAAAAUCUUUGCAAUCUAUCCAUCCGACAAAGGUCUAAUAUCCAGAAUCUACAAAGAACUCAAACAAAUUUACAAGAAAUAAACAAACAACCCCUUUAAAAAGUGGGUGAAAGACAUGAACAGACACUUCUCAAAAGAAGACAUUCAUGCAACCAACAAACAUAUGAGAAAAGCUCAACAUCACUGAUCAUUAGAGAAAAGCAAAUCCAAAUCACAAUGGGAUACCAUCUCAUGCCACUCAGAAUGGCCAUUAAUAAAAAGUCAAGAAACAACAGAUGCUGGCAAGGCUGUGGAGAAAUAGGAACACUUUUACAAUGUUGGUGGAAAUGUAAAUUAGUUCAACCAUUGUGGAAGACAGUGUGACAAUUUCUCGAAGAGCUAGAACUAGAAAUACCAUUUUACCCAGCAAUCUCAUUAAUGGGUAUAUACCCAAAGAAAUAUAAAGCAUUCUAUUACAAAGACACAUG